rnacentral:rRNA from 1 species
GGGUUGUGAGGUUAAGCGACUAAGCGUACACGGUGGAUGCCCUGGCAGUCAGAGGCGAUGAAGGACGUGCUAAUCUGCGAAAAGCGUCGGUAAGGUGAUAUGAACCGUUAUAACCGGCGAUGUCCGAAUGGGGAAACCCAGUGUGAUUCGUCACACUAUCGUUAACUGAAUACAUAGGUUAACGAGGCGAACCGGGGGAACUGAAACAUCUAAGUACCCCGAGGAAAAGAAAUCAACCGAGAUUCCCCCAGUAGCGGCGAGCGAACGGGGAGCAGCCCAGAGUCUGAAUCAGCUUGUGUGUUAGUGGAACGGUCUGGAAAGUCCGACGGUACAGGGUGAUAGUCCCGUACACCAAAAUGCACAGGUUGUGAACUCGAAGAGUAGGGCGGGACACGUGGUAUCCUGUCUGAAUAUGGGGGGACCAUCCUCCAAGGCUAAAUACUCCUGACUGACCGAUAGUGAACCAGUACCGUGAGGGAAAGGCGAAAAGAACCCCGGCGAGGGGAGUGAAAAAGAACCUGAAACCGUGUACGUACAAGCAGUGGGAGCACCUUCGGGUGUGACUGCGUACCUUUUGUAUAAUGGGUCAGCGACUUAUAUUCUGUAGCAAGGUUAACCGUAUAGGGGAGCCGCAGGGAAACCGAGUCUUAACUGGGCGUUAAGUUGCAGGGUAUAGACCCGAAACCCGGUGAUCUAGCCAUGGGCAGGUUGAAGGUUGGGUAACACUAACUGGAGGACCGAACCGACUAAUGUUGAAAAAUUAGCGGAUGACUUGUGGCUGGGGGUGAAAGGCCAAUCAAACCGGGAGAUAGCUGGUUCUCCCCGAAAGCUAUUUAGGUAGCGCCUCGUGAACUCAUCUUCGGGGGUAGAGCACUGUUUCGGCUAGGGGGUCAUCCCGACUUACCAACCCGAUGCAAACUACGAAUACCGAAGAAUGUUAUCACGGGAGACACACGGCGGGUGCUAACGUCCGUCGUGAAGAGGGAAACAACCCAGACCGCCAGCUAAGGUCCCAAAGUCAUGGUUAAGUGGGAAACGAUGUGGGAAGGCACAGACAGCCAGGAUGUUGGCUUAGAAGCAGCCAUCAUUUAAAGAAAGCGUAAUAGCUCACUGGUCGAGUCGGCCUGCGCGGAAGAUGUAACGGGGCUAAACCAUGCACCGAAGCUGCGGCAGCGACACUAUGUGUUGUUGGGUAGGGGAGCGUUCUGUAAGCCUGCGAAGGUGACCUGUGAGGGUUGCUGGAGGUAUCAGAAGUGCGAAUGCUGACAUAAGUAACGAUAAAGCGGGUGAAAAGCCCGCUCGCCGGAAGACCAAGGGUUCCUGUCCAACGUUAAUCGGGGCAGGGUGAGUCGACCCCUAAGGCGAGGCCGAAAGGCGUAGUCGAUGGGAAACAGGUUAAUAUUCCUGUACUUGGUGUUACUGCGAAGGGGGGACGGAGAAGGCUAUGUUAGCCGGGCGACGGUUGUCCCGGUUUAAGCAUGUAGGCUGGUUAUCCAGGCAAAUCCGGAUAAUCAAGGCUGAGGUGUGAUGACGAGGCACUACGGUGCUGAAGUAACAAAUGCCCUGCUUCCAGGAAAAGCCUCUAAGCAUCAGGUAACAUCAAAUCGUACCCCAAACCGACACAGGUGGUCAGGUAGAGAAUACCAAGGCGCUUGAGAGAACUCGGGUGAAGGAACUAGGCAAAAUGGUGCCGUAACUUCGGGAGAAGGCACGCUGGUGUGUAGGUGAAGUCCCUGCGGAUGGAGCUGAGACCAGUCGAAGAUACCAGCUGGCUGCAACUGUUUAUUAAAAACACAGCACUGUGCAAACACGAAAGUGGACGUAUACGGUGUGACGCCUGCCCGGUGCCGGAAGGUUAAUUGAUGGGGUUAUCCGUAAGGAGAAGCUCUUGAUCGAAGCCCCGGUAAACGGCGGCCGUAACUAUAACGGUCCUAAGGUAGCGAAAUUCCUUGUCGGGUAAGUUCCGACCUGCACGAAUGGCGUAAUGAUGGCCAGGCUGUCUCCACCCGAGACUCAGUGAAAUUGAACUCGCUGUGAAGAUGCAGUGUACCCGCGGCAAGACGGAAAGACCCCGUGAACCUUUACUAUAGCUUGACACUGAACAUUGAGCCUUGAUGUGUAGGAUAGGUGGGAGGCUUUGAAGCGUGGACGCCAGUCUGCGUGGAGCCAACCUUGAAAUACCACCCUUUAAUGUUUGAUGUUCUAACGUUGGCCCCUGACCGGGGUUGCGGACAGUGUCUGGUGGGUAGUUUGACUGGGGCGGUCUCCUCCCAAAGCGUAACGGAGGAGCACGAAGGUUAGCUAAUCCUGGUCGGACAUCAGGAGGUUAGUGCAAUGGCAUAAGCUAGCUUGACUGCGAGCGUGACGGCGCGAGCAGGUGCGAAAGCAGGUCAUAGUGAUCCGGUGGUUCUGAAUGGAAGGGCCAUCGCUCAACGGAUAAAAGGUACUCCGGGGAUAACAGGCUGAUACCGCCCAAGAGUUCAUAUCGACGGCGGUGUUUGGCACCUCGAUGUCGGCUCAUCACAUCCUGGGGCUGAAGUAGGUCCCAAGGGUAUGGCUGUUCGCCAUUUAAAGUGGUACGCGAGCUGGGUUUAGAACGUCGUGAGACAGUUCGGUCCCUAUCUGCCGUGGGCGCUGGAGAAUUGAGGGGGGCUGCUCCUAGUACGAGAGGACCGGAGUGGACGCAUCACUGGUGUUCGGGUUGUCAUGCCAAUGGCACUGCCCGGUAGCUAAAUGCGGAAGAGAUAAGUGCUGAAAGCAUCUAAGCACGAAACUUGCCCCGAGAUGAGUUCUCCCUGAGACUUUAAGUCUCCUGAAGGAACGUUAAAGACGAUGACGUUGAUAGGCCGGGUGUGUAAGCGCAGCGAUGCGUUGAGCUAACCGGUACUAAUGAACCGUGAGGCUUAACCUUACAACGCCGAAG